GGGUCCUCGCCGCCGCCUUGCCCGGCCCCACUGUUCCCUCCCCAGGGUCUCGCCAGCUCUUUCUUGCCGCCGCCACCGCCGCUCCUGGAGCCGCGGGUCACCAUGCCCAGCAAAACCAAGUACAACCUUGUGGACGACGGGCACGACCUGCGGAUCCCUUUACACAACGAGGACGCCUUCCAGCAUGGCAUCUCUUUUGAGGCCAAGACACCCCAUCCUUGCCCGCCAAGGCUGGAUUGAGUUACUUCCCGGAGAAGCCCGAGCAGCGCAGCCACGACUCCUGGUUCUUUUGAAAGCUUUUAAGGAAGCGCUGGCUUAUUUACCUGCUGGGCUUCCACGAGAGGUGCUUUCGGGAGGUCUUUUAAAAGGAGAAUGCCCGUUUCCUGACCAGUUAAAAACAACAAUAAUAGUAAAAAAAAAAAAAAAAUCCGAGUAGCUGGGUCUAGUUGCUAAAGUCAUUUCCCAAAUGUUUGCACGACUGUUUUGCAUGUGCCAGCCAUUGGCGUAGUGGUCAGGUGAAACCCGUUUUCCAGUUUUGUGGUGUGCUGUUAAAUCUCAGCAGUUACUGAUGAAGAAUUUAGUCGAGACGACUGGAAUUUGCAGGGCCAAGGCCAAAGCCACCCUUGGGGGAGGGGUGAAGUGGAAACCUUGCGCGCUGGACCAGUGGUUGUGUGUUAAGAAUGGCAACCUUAUCAUGGUGGAGCACCUCGCUGAGUGAGGAGUUCUGGCUUCUGGGACUGCAGUGGACUUUCCUACUGCUGGUCCCGGGAAGGUGCUUUUCAGUGGAAAGGGUUCUGCUUUCUAUUGAUGCCCCUGUCCUGCUCCCCCACCUAUAACCUAAAGAAAGACGCGGGGACACUCAGCAUGCACAGUGUGCUUGUCACCGAGUGAAAUUUAAGUCGACGCUGAUAUAGAUUGGGUUUGGGUGGUUUUGAGAACAGAACUUUUGACUGGGAGGCAAACUUGCUCCACUCUGUCUUCUUCGGUGACCGAAGAGGUUAGUAUAUUGUGCAAGAACUGCCAUCAGGUGUCCGUUUCCUUCAAUUUGCAGAAACACCUUUGGAGUGUCAGUUAGGUGCCCAGACGUCACUUGAAUAUAGAAUCACAUCCCUCUUCUCAUGUAGAUGUGUGGAUUGGUGAAUCAUAUCCCUAAAACAACUUUUCUCAGCCAUAUUUGCUAGAACUAGAGGUGUCAGCCCUUCACCCUGCAGUUCUCAAACCCUACCUUGGAAUGCAGAGUGUGACAGGGACCAGAGGGGAGCUGUCAGCCAAGAUCUUAUCUCACUUCUCUAUCUCAGAAUAGAUCCGCUUGGCCCAAGAUAUUCCAUGUUUGGGCUCAUGUGUGUCUGGGCCUGUGGAUUUGGUAAGCCGUUUCUUAAACGUGUGACUUUUCAUUAUGGUUAUGAUUUAAUUUCCUGGCAUACACAUACACUGAGAAAUUGGCCUUUGUCUUGUUUGGUUCACCAGUGC
rnacentral:lncRNA from 1 species